AGGGAGGGACAGGGUGGUUUCCUGAGGGUUUGUGCUAUGGGGGGAUGAAGCUGCUCCACGAAGGGGUUGUGGGCUGUGCCCAGCGGGAGCAGGGGGCUGCUAUUGGGGAGCUCAGGAUGAGGCAUGUGGAGUUCAGCUGCUUUUCAGCGCUGCUAUUUUCAGGCAGCUUUGGUCAUCACUGUGGAAUUCCUGGCAUGAGAAGGCAGAGCGUCAGGGUGGAGAGAAGGUCCUUGUUGAACUGCUGUAAUGAUGAAGACAGCGAUUUUAAUUGUCCUAAUCAUCUUCUCUUUGCUGGUUUCCGGGAAGAAAUUCCGGUGGUGCACCCUUUCUGACCUGGAACAAAGGAAAUGUGCUGAGCUCUCCAAAGCGCUUACAGCUGUGCUGCCCCUCACUACUGCCAGUUCCUUUACUAGGAUUUCUUGCAUCAGAGCCCACAAUACAUAUGACUGCAUUGAUAAAAUCAGGGCAAAUAAAGCAGAUGCUGCCUCCUUGGAUGCUGGAGAUGUUUACUCUGCUGUAAAGCUGUAUGGUUUGGCAGUGGUGGCAAAGGAGACCUAUGAUCAAGGAAAUUGUGUGUUUGCUGUGGCCAUUGCCAAACGAGGAACUCUGGAUAUCCAGAGUCUACGAGGUGUGCGCAGCUGUCACAAUGGAGCCAGGUGGACAUCGGGCUGGAAUAUUCCACUUGGCUUUCUCCUUGCAAGAAAUUAUCUUUCCUGGGAUGAGGCACAACCUCUGAGGCAAGCAAUCAGUGAGUACUUCAAUGCAAGCUGCAUCCCUGGGGUUGGUGUUGCUGCUCCCCGUUUGUGUGCUCUCUGCCAAGGACAAAAAUCCUAUGUCAGAGACAGGAACCACUUCUGUGAGACAAGCAGUAAUGAACCCUUCUACGACUCCGACGGAGCCUUCAGGUGCUUGAAGGAUGGAGUGGCAGAUGUUGCCUUUUUAGAUCACCUAAGAAUUAUGAGUGCCACAGAGUCAGAACAACAGGAAUAUGAACUCUUGUGUCCUGAUGGCUCCACAGCUGAGCUGACAGAGCACAGCACCUGUAACCUGGGCAAGGGGCCUGGCCGUGGCAUCGUCACCCGCAACAACUUCCAGAAGAUCACCAAUAAAUUCCUUAGCAUGAUCCAACGCCUCUUUGGGCGUAAAGGAAAGGAAAGAGCCAGGUUUGAACUCUUCAGUUCAGCAGCCUUUGGGGGGAAGAAUCUGCUGUUCCGAGAUGCCACUCAGCACCUGCAGCUUCUCGAGGAGCAGCUGGAGAUUGCCUAUGUGCUUGGUCUGGAUUAUGUAGCUCUCCUUAAGGGACUCGGCCAUGAAGGGAGCUCUUUGGACAACAGUGUUGUGCGCUGGUGCUGCAUCAGUGAUGCUGAGCUUCGCAAAUGCGAGGAGUGGGCACUGAACAUCAAAUCCGACCCAUUAGUCUGUGUCCAAGCGAAUUCCAUGACCAAAUGCAUUGAGAUGAUCAAGAGCAGUGAGGCUGAUGCGGUCACCCUGGAUGCGACACACGUGUACAUUGCAGGGAGGUGUGGACUGGUGCCUGUAGCUGCAGAAUGCUAUGGGGGAGAUUGUGCCCCAGCAGAUGAGACCAUGGAGAAAACAGGGAAACAAAUUCAUCUUAAGCACAAAGCACUACCACCAGUUUAUGCUGUUGCCCUAGCUAAGAAAAGUGCCAAACAGAUUCACAUCCAUAACCUUAGGGGAAGGCGGUCCUGCCACAGUCACCUGUACAGUCCUGGAGGAUGGUUACUUCUGUCCAGACACACAGUGGGAGCUCGGCAGAAUGACACUGACAACUGUGAUAUUGCCUCUGCUUAUCAGAAUUACUUUUGGAAGGGCUGCAUGCCAGGAGCAGAUGGAAACCUGUGCAAGGUGUGCAUUGGAGAUGGUGAGGUGGAAGGAGCUCGGGUGUCCAGCAGAUGUGCUGCAAGUCACAACGAACGUUACUACGGCAAUAUGGGAGCACUCAGGUGCCUAGUUGGCAAUCCCAGUGGAAGAAGCUUUGGAGAUGUAGCUUUCCUGGAACACUCAAACCUGCUCCAGAAUAUAGAGGAUCUGGGCAGCUCUGGUUGGGCAAAAGGUUAUACUGCCCUUGACUUUGAACUCUUGUGUCCGGACGGAACGCGCGCCGCAGUCACAGAAUGGGCUGGCUGUAACCUUGGCCCCAUUCCCCCCAGCGCAGUCAUGACUCGACCAGUCACUGUCACUAAAAUCUCUGACUUUCUACUGAAAUCUCAGGAAUCUCUGGGAAGCAAAUUGGAUUCUGAAUUCCAACUCUUUCAGUCAUGGAAGUAUGGUGAAAAUGAUUUGCUUUUCAAAGACACUACACAGUACCUUGUUCAUGCAAGUCACCUGAGCUAUCAGGAGAUUCUUGGAGAGUCUUUUGUUCAACUGGCAGAAUCAGUGUUUAAUUGCACACCUGCAGGUAUCUUGGAUUUCUGCAAACAGGAUAUCUGUGCAUCCUCAUCCAACUGACAGCUCAUACAGAGGCUUUGCAAGGCAUUUAAGAUCAGCAUCAUUGCAGAGAACAAGGAAAAUGUGCAAGUCCAACCAAUCCAAAGCAAUCAGCAAGGAAACAGUCAUCUCUAAAAAUGUAUGCUGAACACCUUCCUGUCUUUUUUUUUUUCAGCAGAUUUUAUGUUUAUGAUGAUAUAGUACUAUUCAUGUCACCCCUUUCUUUUUUGGAGCACAGCAGCAUGGGGAACAGCACAACCAACAGCACAGAACUAGGAUCAGCAUUGUGGAAAGAGCAGGGCCAGUACCAUGGACUAAAAUACAGACUGAUAUGAGUGGCACAGAUAAACCUAAAAUACAGCUUUGAUACCUGCCAUCCCUACACUUAGAGGGAAUAGAAAGAAGUUUCAGCACCUAUCAUCCAGCUGCUCAGGCAGAAAAGAAUUAAACCCAAGUAAGGAAUCAAACUGCUAGCCAAGUCUCCAGCCUGUAAUAAUUCUUCAGGAAAGGAUUCUGCUGGCCCAUGAGAAAUCACCUGGAGCAUAUCACCCAAAUCCUCUGUCUUCUGGCAGAAGUUUCCCGUGGCAGAAGUCCAUGGCCCAUCCCUGUGUGCCAGCACGGGUACCAGCCCAUCAGACUGUGCAUCUAAUCCAAGGCUGGGCCCCGGCACGGCCAUGAGCUCUGUGCUCUCCGGCAGUCCAGUGUACAACUCCUCUAUUACAGCAGACACAGAAGAAUCAAGGAGAGACUCCACUCCAGAUGAGAGCAUCAGGGCUGUUGAAGAUCAGUUGCCCUGAGUUUUUCAGUUUAUCCUAAAAAUAAAAGCAGCGUUAAAUCAAUGUACAUUGGAUUACCCAUAGAAAACUCUGAGCUGGAAAGGACCUUCAAGGAUCAAUUAAGUUCAAAUCCUGGACUAGAUUAAAAGGAAAAGCUUAAUUCCUCAAGAUUCAAGUAUGUGUGUUUAAGAAAUAUAAUUCCAAAUAUGUCUUUAAGAAAGGUGCUGAUUAACGUUUGAGUAUCUAAAGAAAUGCUUCAGGAACAAAAGAAGAAAGUAAAAAGAAAUAGAUAUUCCCAAGUCUCAUUUUCACAUUCAAACAUCUCCCUGCAGAUUUAACCACAUCUUCUGAAAAACCUGACAAGAGGUUUUAAAGCAAAUCACCGGGGCUUGUAUCAGACAUCCUCCUCCUUUAAUAAAACUAAAGCAUCGUUUGA